rnacentral:rRNA from 1 species
UCAUAAGAUUUUGGCGGUAUUUUAAGCUUAUUAGAGGAAUUUGCUCUGUAAUGGAUACAACGCCUUAAUCUUACUUAAUUUGGUUUAAAAGUCAGUUUGUAUACCACUAUAUUUAAUUAUAUUGAAUAAUUAUAUUUAAGAUUUUUUUUUAUAAAAAAUAUAUUAAGUCAAGGUGCAAUUUAUAAUUAUGAAUGAAGUGAAUUACAUUAAUUUUAAUUUUACUUAAAUAUUGAAAAAAAAAUUAUAGGAUUUAAUAGUAAAAUGUUAAU